rnacentral:rRNA from 1 species
UAAGGCGAGGCUGAAAAGCGUAGUCGAUGGGAAACAGGUUAAUAUUCCUGUACUUCUGGUUACUGCGAUGGAGGGACGGAGAAGGCUAGGCCAGCUUGGCGUUGGUUGUCCAAGUUUAAGGUGGUAGGCUGAAAUCUUAGGUAAAUCCGGGGUUUCAAGGCCGAGAGCUGAUGACGAGUCGUCUUUUAGAUGACGAAGUGGUUGAUGCCAUGCUUCCAAGAAAAGCUUCUAAGCUUCAGGUAACCAGGAACCGUACCCCAAACCGACACAGGUGGUCGGGUAGAGAAUACCAAGGCGCUUGAGAGAACUCGGGUGAAGGAACUAGGCAAAAUGGCACCGUAACUUCGGGAGAAGGUGCGCCGGCUAGGGUGAAGGAUUUACUCCGUAAGCUCUGGCUGGUCGAAGAUACCAGGCCGCUGCGACUGUUUAUUAAAAACACAGCACUCUGCAAACACGAAAGUGGACGUAUAGGGUGUGACGCCUGCCCGGUGCCGGAAGGUUAAUUGAUGGGGUUAGCGCAAGCGAAGCUCUUGAUCGAAGCCCCGGUAAACGGCGGCCGUAACUAUAACGGUCCUAAGGUAGCGAAAUUCCUUGUCGGGUAAGUUCCGACCUGCACGAAUGGCGUAACGAUGGCGGCGCUGUCUCCACCCGAGACUCAGUGAAAUUGAAAUCGCUGUGAAGAUGCAGUGUAUCCGCGGCUAGACGGAAAGACCCCGUGAACCUUUACUGUAGCUUUGCACUGGACUUUGAGCCUGCUUGUGUAGGAUAGGUGGGAGGCUUUGAAGCGUGGACGCCAGUUCGCGUGGAGCCAUCCUUGAAAUACCACCCUGGCAUGCUUGAGGUUCUAACUCUGGUCCGUGAUCCGGAUCGAGGACAGUGUAUGGUGGGCAGUUUGACUGGGGCGGUCUCCUCCUAAAGAGUAACGGAGGAGUACGAAGGUGCGCUCAGACCGGUCGGAAAUCGGUCGCAGAGUAUAAAGGCAAAAGCGCGCUUGACUGCGAGACAGACACGUCGAGCAGGUACGAAAGUAGGUCUUAGUGAUCCGGUGGUUCUGUAUGGAAGGGCCAUCGCUCAACGGAUAAAAGGUACUCCGGGGAUAACAGGCUGAUACCGCCCAAGAGUUCAUAUCGACGGCGGUGUUUGGCACCUCGAUGUCGGCUCAUCACAUCCUGGGGCUGAAGUAGGUCCCAAGGGUAUGGCUGUUCGCCAUUUAAAGUGGUACGCGAGCUGGGUUUAGAACGUCGUGAGACAGUUCGGUCCCUAUCUGCCGUGGACGUUUGAGAUUUGAGAGGGGCUGCUCCUAGUACGAGAGGACCGGAGUGGACGAACCUCUGGUGUUCCGGUUGUCACGCCAGUGGCAUUGCCGGGUAGCUAUGUUCGGAAAAGAUAACCGCUGAAAGCAUCUAAGCGGGAAACUUGCCUCAAGAUGAGAUCUCACUGGGAACUUGAUUCCCCUGAAGGGCCGUCGAAGACUACGACGUUGAUAGGCUGGGUGUGUAAGCGUUGUGAGGCGUUGAGCUAACCAGUACUAAUUGCCCGUGAGGCUUGACCAU